GCUCCUGCUUUAAAGAUAAGGUUGUGCCGGCAGUUAGGCACGGUUAGCGCUGCCCGCUAUCUAUCAGGCACGGCCAGUCGUGUUUUAGCGCUGCCUGCUAGCUGCCGGGCACGGCUAGCCGUGUUUUAGCUCUCCGCCGGGAAUUUGUGUCUAAAUUUAUGUUAAAGGAUUUGUGGGGUUCUGUUGUAUGUUGUAUUGUGUAUAUAAUGAUUAUAAUCGUGUUUUAUUUGAAACUGUUUGUUAGCCCAGAAAAUGCUCUGAAUGCAUUGCCAUGUUUCAGUAACUUACAAUCAUUAAAUCAAGUGUUACAGAAUUUGACUAGGUUAUCAAAUUAACAUUAAUAGGCAAUAUUUUAUGAAAUAUUACAUUAAAUAAUAAGUGUUCCACUGCAAAUGUGAAAAUUAGUGAACAAAUAACCAGGCAUGUAUACAGCCCUAAUGAUGCCCGUUCAUGGUAAAGAGAAAACAUAUGUAAUGCGCUCAAAUUGAUAAGAUUAGUAAAAUACUAUUAAAAAAAACAAAAGUGUAAACAUUUGUUGAGCUUCAUGCAAUAGGCUGCUUUUCAUCAGUAUUUUACAAUUUUGGUUAUCCAGUUUAGGCUUGUCAUUUAGUUAUUAUUAUUCCAGUGUAAGUUCAUUUUUAAUUUGUUGUUCAAAAUCAUAUUAACAUUUUCUUUCAAUUAACAUUGUACCUGCAGGGUAGUGGCGGGUAAAUUGAGGGCUGUGUGAGUGGAGAACACUCCAACUUUCAUCUUGUUCAGGCAGAGUCUCCUUACUUUCAGAACAAGCUGUUGCAGUGGACAGAAUAGGCCUUAGGUCAGCUUAGGAGAGGACAUACUUGACUGGUUUGAAUGCUGGUGUCAUCAGAGAGAAACAGUAGGCUUCCAGUAUUAUGAGAUUAUGUUAUGUUAUGGUUUUGUGAGUGGUAGUCCAGCGGUGGAUGAGUUCAGAGAGAGAUGGCCUGCUUUGUAUUCUGAAGCUGAGAUCAAAGAGGAAUUCAGGAGAAUAACUACGGUUUCCUUAGAGCAGACCUUCAUGCGCAAACUUGACUACUACGCUCCAAAAC